rnacentral:lncRNA from 1 species
CAUUUUUGGUCGGAAACCAAACCAGGAGAUGAUACGUCGAAACUAUCGCCUUGAGGGCAUUUAGUCUGGGUCUCCCAAGUAUGGCGUUGUAGGUCGAGGGCACUUGGACGACCAUAAAAGUCAAGUGGACUGUGCUUUGUCGUGGUUCGGUUCUCGCCGUCACGGGCAAAGUAACUUCUCCUUCCACCGUGAUAGCAUCC